CUUGUCUCACGGCGCAUGCGCGCAGAAGUUGGCAGCUGACAGACCUGCGCAAGCCUAGAAGGGGAGACGCGUGCUGGCCCCAACAACGCCUGGAUCUCGGCUGUGUCAUGUAGGCGGCAGCCUCCUGGCGCUUUGCCAGGUUUGUCUCACGGCGCAUGCGCGCAGAAGCUGGCAGAGCCCAGGAGCCUGAGGCCUAGGCUGAGGAAGGUUAAGGUUGAAGACCGAAGGAGUCUGGCCCUUGUCUGGUGAGGAAGGAGGGCUCAAGCCUGGGGUUUCUGCCCCGCGAUUGUUACCAGCGUCCUGGCAGAUGGCGGAGGAAGUCUUUUGACGAUGCUUAUGGCCCCGCCCCUUGCCGAGGCCACACCCCCUCUGAGCCCCACCCCUUCCCAGUGUUUUCAAUGCGGCCAUUGAUUGCAGGCUAGGACGUGAUGAAGAAAAUGUGAAGAAUGCAGAUUUAACUCAUAAGUGUGUCAUGGUAUUUUCUCCUUGACCUGACAAUUCUGGACUUUGGAAAAGCCUCCCAUGUGCCAAGGACUGUGCUAAUUAUUGGGGAUGUGGAGAAAUGCACAAACCAAAACCCCCGUUCCCAAGGGGCUCAUGGUCGGAUGGGGAAGAUGACGUGCAAACAGCUUGGUACAUGCAAGAUCUCUACGGGGUAUAUUGGAAAGAAUUUCUGAAGGAAGGCACUCAGAUUAAGGAGACUUCUUGUCCAAGGCAUGACUCUUAAUUAUCUGCUUUUGACAUCCUGGAGAACAUGAAGACAACCCAAGCACCUAGUAGAGGACCAUGGAUCCCAUGGGUGACUUGUACGUGAUGAAGGCUUGACGGAGCCAUCGGGACCUAAGGAGUUGGAC